UUUUUUUUUUAUCUGGACCACUUUUCCCACAGACUAAUAAUACUGCAGACUCACACACUGCUCCGUGUAGAAAGAGGUUGCUGCGAAGGCAGCGAGCCAGGAGGAAAGGGAUUUUUUUUUGAGAGGAACCUUAAUGUCGGCAUCGCAGCUGCAAAACGUGACGCAUCCUUCCGUAUCCCUUUUGUGCGCUCGACUCGUCUGCAUCUGCUUGGCGUGUGGCGGCGCUCCACUCCGGGGACUGCAUUGUGGCGGCCUGUUUAUCGAAGCACUUUGAAUUAGAUGCGGCAGAGGGGG